UGCCAGCAGCCGCGGUAAUACGGAGGGUGCGAGCGUUAAUCGGAAUUACUGGGCGUAAAGCGCACGUAGGCGGAUUAGUAAGUUAGGGGUGAAAUCCCGGGGCUCAACCCCGGAACUGCCUCUAAUACUGCUAGUCUUGAGUUCGAGAGAGGUGAGUGGAAUUCCGGUGUAGCGGUGAAAUGCGUAGAUAUCGGAAGGAACACCAGUGGCGAAGGCGGCUACCUGGCCUGAUACUGACACUGAGGCACGAAAGCGUGGGGAGCAAACAGGAUUAGAUA
rnacentral:rRNA from 1 species